rnacentral:rRNA from 1 species
AUGGGAUCAGAACCGGCCAUCCGGCCCGAGCUGCCACCGGUCGGCGUACACCGGCGGUGGGGAGGUGGGGGAGGAGGAGGGGCUGGGGAAGCCGAGGACGAAGCCGGCGGCGGCGCGGUGGUGGUGGUGGUGGUGCCCGGCGACGGUGGCGAUGGGGCCGAGCGGGCGGUUCUUGCGGCGCCCGGCGCCGAUGGGCACGUUGCGGAGCGCGCCGCCGGCCGUCCAGUAGCGGUGGCAGGCCUUGCAGAAGUGGCGCGGCUGGUUCACGUUGUAGUUGUUGAAGUAGCAGAACUUGGUCUCCCGGCUCCGGCACCGCGGGCACGGCAGCGGCGCCGCGGCCGCGCGCGCCUCCGCCGACUCCUGCAGCUGCGUCCGCCGCGAUGCCUCCGCUCCCUGCUGCUGCUGCUGCUGCGACGAGUCCAUGUCCGCCGCCUCCCGCUUGACCGCCGUCGUCGUCCGGUCCGUCUCGCCGUGCAGCCGCCGCUCCUCGUCCUGCGCGGCGAACACGGGCGACGGCGACGGCGACGCCUGGGUCCCCUCGACGCACUGCGUGAUGACCUUGCCGAACAGCUUGAAGCCGCCGCCGGCCCCGGCGGGUGCCAUCUCGACGUGGGAGAGCAUGCGACGGAAGAAAGGGUGGAGUGGAGAGUGGAAGACGGGGAGAGAGGGGGCAGCAGAGCGAUGUGGAAGAAAGGGGUCGGUCGCUGCUACUUAAAUGCAGCUGAUGGAUGGAUGGAUAGGUCACUCAUCACACCAGAGAGUAAAGCGUCGCGUACGUGGGUUGGACCGCAAGAGCAAAAGGCCAAAAAUGUUACGCGCACAGCACACACGCCCGCACGCACAUCGGGUUCUCUUUGCGUCCGGCCGGCUGGGUUUGCUUGCGCCUGCGUGGGUUUGCGGAUGGGUCGAUUUUGA